UUUAAAAUGUGAAUUGCAUUACUGGGAAUUAAUAAGAAGAUAAGGUUAGGUUUAGCUAGACAUUUUUCAUUACUAACCUUCCAUAAACAAAAUAAUUUCUUAGAUUACCAAAAUCCAAAAUGGGAAACAAAGUUCACAUUUUCACAUUCGGAAAUAAACUUAUCAGUUUUCUAUUUACCAAAAAAUUGGCAAGUAUUUAAUGAAGAAGGUAUUAUAUAUUUGUUACAAUAAGCAGCACUCUAAAGCACAAAAACAAAAAACAAAAGAGGCUUUUCUUUACAAAAAGCAUGGUUAAAGCUUCAAUUACUCUGCUUUUCCUAGCCACCUUAUUGGUCUUUUCAAGUGAUAUUGUGAUGGGACAACCCCUUUGUUGUACAAGGCCAUGCAGAGUUGGGAUUCCACAAUGUGAUAAUGGUGUGUGUAUUUGUUGCGUUGGUCCACAAUGCCGUGCUAAUCAAGAAAGGAUUGGCCUUGGUCGCAAAGUAUCAACCUUGCCAGACUAUUCUAAUUAAUUGUUAAAGCUAUUAAUUAGAGUUUGUUAUAUGUGAAUCUAAUGCUAUAAUUAUUGGUUAUUAAUGAAGAUUAUAUUCUAAGGAAAAA